CAGGGAUUGCCCUAGUAACGGCGAGUGAAGCGGCAACAGCUCAAAUUUGAAAUCUGGCCUCGGCCCGAGUUGUAAUUUGCAGAGGAUGUUUCUGGCGCGGUGCCUUCCGAGUUCCCUGGAACGGGACGCCAAAGAGGGUGAGAGCCCCGUAUGGUCGGACACCAAGCCUGUGUGAAACUCCUUCGACGAGUCGAGUAGUUUGGGAAUGCUGCUCUAAAUGGGAGGUAAAUCUCUUCUAAAGCUAAAUACCGGCCAGAGACCGAUAGCGCACAAGUAGAGUGAUCGAAAGAUGAAAAGCACCUUGAAAAGGGGGUUAAAUAGUACGUGAAAUUGUUGAAAGGGAAGCACUUAUGACCAGACUUGGGCCGGGCGGCUCAUCAGGGGUUCUCCCCUGUGCACUCCGCCCGGCACAGGCCAGCAUCGGUUCUCGUGGGGGGAUAAGACCGUCAGGAACGUAGCACCCUCCGGGGUGUGUUAUAGCCUGGCGGACGAUACCCUCGUGGGGACCGAGGUUCGCGCUCCGCAAGGAUGCUGGCGUAAUGGUCAUCAGUGACCCGUCUUGAAACACGGACCAAGGAGUCGUCCAUUAGAGCGAGCGUUUGGGUGUAAAACCCGCACGCGUAAUGAAAGUGAACGCAGGUGAGAGCUUCGGCGCAUCAUCGACCGAUCCUGAUGUUCUCGGAAGGAUUUGAGUAAGAGUUUUAACGGACGGACCCGAAAGACAGUGAACUAUGCUUGUAUAGGGUGAAGCCAGAGGAAACUCUGGUGGAGGCUCGCAGCGGUUCUGACGUGCAAAUCGAUCGUCAAAUAUGAGCAUGGGGGCGAAAGACUAAU
rnacentral:rRNA from 1 species